CUGCAUGGCUGUCGUCAGCUCGUGUCGUGAGAUGUUGGGUUAAGUCCGCAACGAGCGCAACCCUCGCCUUUAGUUGCCAGCAUUCAGUUGGGCACUCUAGAGGGACUGCCGGUGUCAAACCGGAGGAAGAUGGGGAUGACGUCAAGUCCUCAUGGCCUUUAUGUCUAGGGCUACACACGUACUACAAUGGCCGGUACAAAGGGCAGCCACUCAGCGAUGAGGCGCUAAUCCCAUAAAGCCGGUCUCAGUCCGGAUCGCAGUCUGCAACUCGACUGCGUGAAGUUGGAAUCGCUAGUAGUCGUAGAUCAGCAUGCCUACGGUCGAAUACGUUCCCGGGCCUU
rnacentral:rRNA from 1 species